rnacentral:rRNA from 1 species
AGGCCUAACACAUGCAAGUCGAGCGGAAACGAUGGAAGCUUGCUUCCAGGCGUCGAGCGGCGGACGGGUGAGUAAUGCAUGGGAAUCUGCCCGAUAGUGGGGGAUAACCUGGGGAAACCCAGGCUAAUACCGCAUACGUCCUACGGGAGAAAGCAGGGGAUCUUCGGACCUUGCGCUAUCGGAUGAGCCCAUGUCGGAUUAGCUUGUUGGUGAGGUAAUGGCUCACCAAGGCGACGAUCCGUAGCUGGUCUGAGAGGAUGAUCAGCCACAUCGGGACUGAGACACGGCCCGAACUCCUACGGGAGGCAGCAGUAGGGAAUAUUGGACAAUGGGCGAAAGCCUGAUCCAGCCAUGCCGCGUGUGUGAAGAAGGCCCUCGGGUUGUAAAGCACUUUCAGUGGGGAAGAAAGCCUUGGGAUUAAUACUCCCGAGGAAGGACAUCACCCACAGAAGAAGCACCGGCUAACUCCGUGCCAGCAGCCGCGGUAAUACGGAGGGUGCGAGCGUUAAUCGGAAUUACUGGGCGUAAAGCGCGCGUAGGCGGUCUGAUAAGCCGGUUGUGAAAGCCC